rnacentral:rRNA from 1 species
GUAAGUCAGAAGUGAAAUCCAAUAGCUCAACUAUUGAACUGCUUUUGAAACUGCUUAUCUAGAAUAUGGGAGUGGUAGAUGGAAUUUCUGGUGUAGGGGUAAAAUCCGUAGAGAUCAGAAGGAAUACCGAUUGCGAAGGCGAUCUACUGGAACAUUAUUGACGCUGAGACGCGAAAGCGUGGGGAGCAAACAGGAUUAGAUACCCUGGUAGUCCACGCCCUAAGCGAUGUACACUAGUUGUUGUGAGGCUCGACCUUGCAGUAAUGCAGUUAACACAUUAAGUGUACCGCCUGGGGAGUACGGUCGCAAGAUUAAAACUCAAAGGAAUAGACGGGGACCCGCACAAGCGGUGGAGCAUGUGGUUUAAUUCGACGAUACACGAAGAACCUUACCUGGACUUGACAUAGUAAGAACUUUCUAGAGAUAGAUUGGUGUCUGCUUGCAGAAACUUAUAUACAGGUGCUGCACGGCUGUCGUCAGCCCGUGUCGUGAGAUGUUGGGUUAAGUCCCGCAACGAGCGCAACCCUCGUCAUUAGUUGCUAACAGUUCGGCUGAGAACUCUAAUGAGACUGCCUACGCAAGUAGGAGGAAGGUGAGGACGACGUCAAGUCAUCAUGGCCCUUACGUCCAGGGCUACGCACGUGCUACAAUGGGGUAUACAAAGAGCAGCAAUACGGUGACGUGGAGCAAAUCUCAAAAAUAUCUCCCAGUUCGGAUUGUAGUCUGCAACUCGACUACAUGAA